CCACCUCCCACCCAUGUUUAUUGUACCUUGUUGCUUCGGCGGGCCCGCCUCACGGCCGCCGGGGGGCUUCUGCCCUCUGGCCCGCGCCCGCCGAAGACACCAUUGAACACUGUCUGAAGAUUGCAGUCUGAGCAAUUAGCUAAAUAAGUUAAAACUUUCAACAACGGAUCUCUUGGUUCCGGCAUCGAUGAAGAACGCAGCGAAAUGCGAUACGUAAUGUGAAUUGCAGAAUUCAGUGAAUCAUCGAGUCUUUGAACGCACAUUGCGCCCCUUGGUAUUCCGGGGGGCAUGCCUGUCCGAGCGUCAUUGCUGCCCUCAAGCACGGCUUGUGUGUUGGGCCCCGUCCUCCUUCCCGGGGGACGGGCCCGAAAGGCAGCGGCGGCACCGCGUCCGGUCCUCGAGCGUAUGGGGCUUUGUCACCCGCUCUUGUAGGCCCGGCCGGCGCUUGCCGACAACAAUCAAUCUUUUUUCAGGUUGACCUCGGAUCAGGUAGGGAUACCCGCUGAACUUAAGCAUAUCANAANNCCGGGAGANAAAUCAUUACCGAGUGAGGGCCCUCUGGGUCAACCUCCCACCAUGUUUAUUGUACCUUGUUGCUUCGGCGGGCCGCCUCAGGCGCGGGGGCUUCUGCCUCUGGCGCCGCGAAGACACCAUUGAACACUGUCUGAAGAUAUGCAGUCUGGAGACAAUUUAGCUAAUAGUUUAAAAACUUUCAACAACGGACUUGGUUUCGCUCGAUAAAAGCACGCAUGCGAUACGUAAUGUGAAUUGCAGAAUCAGUGAAAUCAUGAGUCUUUGAAACGCAAAUGGCGCCUCUGGGUAUUCCGGGGGGGGCAUGCCUGCUCAAGCGCGAUCAUUUGCCUGCUCUACAGACACAGGUGUGUGUGNGUGUU
rnacentral:rRNA from 1 species